UAGUCACCUAUAGUUCUUUGCCUAAG
rnacentral:piRNA from 1 species